AUUGAACGCUGGCGGCAUGCCUUACACAUGCAAGUCGAACGGCAGCACGGGUGCUUGCACCUGGUGGCGAGUGGCGAACGGGUGAGUAAUACAUCGGAACAUGUCCUGUAGUGGGGGAUAGCCCGGCGAAAGCCGGAUUAAUACCGCAUACGAUCUACGGAUGAAAGCGGGGGACCUUCGGGCCUCGCGCUAUAGGGUUGGCCGAUGGCUGAUUAGCUAGUUGGUGGGGUAAAGGCCUACCAAGGCGACGAUCAGUAGCUGGUCUGAGAGGACGACCAGCCACACUGGGACUGAGACACGGCCCAGACUCCUACGGGAGGCAGCAGUGGGGAAUUUUGGACAAUGGGCGAAAGCCUGAUCCAGCAAUGCCGCGUGUGUGAAGAAGGCCUUCGGGUUGUAAAGCACUUUUGUCCGGACAGAAAUCCUUGGCCCUAAUACGGUCGGGGGAUGACGGUACCGGAAGAAUAAGCACCGGCUAACUACGUG
rnacentral:rRNA from 1 species